rnacentral:snoRNA from 10 species
UGUUUGCCUUGAUGAUUCCUACAAGGACGGUAUCUGAGUAAGGUUCUUGAAAGAGUACUCCUUAUGUGAUUACAUCCAAAACUGAUCAGAGAUUCUGAGUAAACA